CCUACGGGAGGCAGCAGUGGGGAAUAUUGGGCAAUGGGCGCAAGCCUGACCCAGCAACGCCGCGUGAAGGAAGAAGGCUUUCGGGUUGUAAACUUCUUUUCUCAGGGACGAAGAAAGUGACGGUACCUGAGGAAUAAGCCACGGCUAACUACGUGCCAGCAGCCGCGGUAAUACGUAGGUGGCAAGCGUUAUCCGGAUUUAUUGGGUGUAAAGGGCGUGUAGGCGGGAGCGCAAGUCAGAUGUGAAAACUCAGGGCUCAACCCUGAGCCUGCAUUUGAAACUGUGUUUCUUGAGUGCUGGGGAGGCAAUCGGAAUGCCGUGUGUAGCGGUGAAAUGCGUAGAUAGACGGAGGAACACCAGUGGCGAAGGCGGAUUGCUGGACAGUAACUGACGCUGAGGCGCGAAAGCGUGGGGAGCAAACAGGAUUAGAUACCCCUGUAGUC
rnacentral:rRNA from 1 species